rnacentral:misc_RNA from 1 species
AAGAAGUCAUGAGGCUAUUAUGCAUACAGAAUCCCCAAUAUCAGAACUUAGAGAGAAAAAGCAAAAGAGGAUUGGUUUUGCAGAGGGAAGGGUUUGUUAUGGUUGUUGCUCAAAAAUCCUCCGUCGCAACAGCAGCAGGUGAAAGGGAAUUAUACAACAACAGUUCGCUCUGUUUUCUGUUUGAGAAAACGAGAAAAUUUACAGAUAUGGAAUUUCCUUUACCGCCCGACUUCACUGCUAACUAUAUUUUAUUUCCAAA